rnacentral:rRNA from 1 species
GAUGAACGCUGGCGGCGUGCCUAAUACAUGCAAGUCGAGCGAACGGACGAGAAGCUUGCUUUUCUGAUGUUAGCGGCGGACGGGUGAGUAACACGUGGAUAACCUACCUAUAAGACUGGUAUAACUUCGGGAAACCGGAGCUAAUACCGGAUAAUAUUUUGAACCGCAUGGUUCAAUAGUGAAAGACGGUCUUGCUGUCACUUAUAGAUGGAUCCGCGCUGCAUUAGCUAGUAGUUAAGGUAACGGCUUACCAAGGCAACGAUGCAUAGCCGACGUGAGAGGGUGAUAGGCCACACUGGAGCGGAGCCAGGGUCCAGACUCCUACGGGAGGCAGCAGUAGGGAAUCUUCCGCAAUGGGCGAAAGCCUGACGGAGCAACGCCGCGUGAGUGAUGAAGGUCUUCGGAUCGUAAAACUCUGUUAUUAGGGAAGAACAUAUGUGUAAGUAACUGUGCACAUCUUGACGGUACCUAAUCAGAAAGCCACGGCUAACUACGUG